CACGUAGGGGGCAAGCGUUGUCCGGAAUCAUUGGGCGUAAAGAGCUCGUAGGCGGCUCAGUAAGUCGGGUGUGAAACCCUCAGGCUCAACCUGGGGACGCCACCCGAUACUGCUGUGGCUAGAGUCCAGUAGGGGAGUGUGGAAUUCCCGGUGUAGCGGUGAAAUGCGUAGAUAUCAAGAGGAACACCUGAGGUGAAGACGGGUUGCUGGGCUGACACUGACGCUGAGGCGCGAAAGCCAGGGGAGCAAACGGG
rnacentral:rRNA from 1 species